CAUGUUGGGCACUUAGAACAUCGGUUUGUUGUUUUUUUUUUGUGAGAUUCUGGAAACAUUCCAAUUUUACCUUUUCCCCUUGACUCCAGACUUUUUAACACUGGUCUGCUACUGUUAAGUUGUAUGCCAUUUUGUUAGGCCUUCUCAAGUGGGAAUCAGGAACGCUGCUGUGCUCUAGAGAUGUUUUGUUCUUCCUGUAGGGCUGAAGCAGUGCCUACUCGAUAGAAUCAGUCAUCAUGCAAAUAAAAGCCACCUGAGUCAAAGGCAAAGCCAGAGUGCAGCUUGGAGCAAAGAAGUUAAAAGCAUAUUGGCAGAGGAAGAGCCCUGGCAUUCCAGCAGGAGCUAACAGGAAAAAGAAAAUCAAUGGCAGUAGCCCUGACACAGCCACUUCUGGUGGUUACCACUCACCUGGGGAUUCAGCAACAGGUAUCUACGGGGAGGGCCGUGCAUCCUCUACUACCCUGGAGGAUCUGGAGAGCCAGUACCAAGAACUAGCAGUGGCCCUGGAUUCAAGCUCCGCAAUAAUCAGUCAACUCACUGAAAACAUCAAUUCACUGGUUCGCACAUCUAAGGAGGAGAAGAAGCAUGAGAUACAUCUGGUACAGAAGCUUGGG
rnacentral:lncRNA from 1 species